CGGUGGAUAGCUCAGUUGGUAGAGCACCUGUCCUACACACAGGGGGUCGUGGGUUCGAGUCCCUCUCCACCGA
rnacentral:tRNA from 1 species